rnacentral:rRNA from 1 species
UACGUAGGUGGCGAGCGUUAUCCGGAUUUACUGGGUGUAAAGGGCGUGUAGGCGGGAUGGUAAGUCAGAUGUGAAAACUAUGGGCUCAACCCAUAGCCUGCAUUUGAAACUAUCGUUCUUGAGUGUUGGAGAGGCAGGCGGAAUUCCCGGUGUAGCGGUGAAAUGCGUAGAGAUCGGGAGGAACACCAGUGGCGAAGGCGGCCUACUGGGCUUUAACUGACGCUGAAGCACGAAAGCGUGGGUAGCAAACAGG